UUGAGAGUUUGAUCCUAGCUCAGGAUGAACGCUGGCGGCGUGUUUAAGGCAUGCAAGUCGAACGAACCUAUGCUCUUCACUGCGUGAAGAGCUCCGGUCCGCAGGCGGCCCCAUUUGGGGAGCUUGCUCACCGAAGCUCAGCGCGUAGCGAUGAGCGUAGGUGAGUGGCAAACGGGAGCGUAACGCAUUGGUAACCUACCCCUAACACGGUCAUAACCCCGCGAAAGCGGAGCUAAUAGCCGAUGUGCUUAACGGUCAUGAGACCGUUACGUAAAGGUUGGCGCAAGCCAGCCGGUUAGGGAGGGGCCUAUGUCCUAUCAGCUUGUUGGUGAGGUAAUGGCUCACCAAGGCAACGACGGGUACCGGGCGUGAGAGCGUGGCCCGGCUCACUGGGACUGAAACACUGCCCAGACUCCUACGGGAGGCUGCAGUCAAGAAUCUUGCGCAAUGGGCGAAAGCCUGACGCAGCGACGCCGCGUGGUCGAAGAAGCCCUUCGGGGUGUAAAGGCCUUUUACCAGGGACGAAUUUCUGACGGUACCUGGUGAAUAAGAGGUUGCUAACUCUGUGCCAGCAGCAGCGGUAAUACAGAGACCUCAAGCGUUAUCCGGAUUUAUUGGGCGUAAAGCGUCUGUAGGCGGUUUAGUGUGUCAGCUGUUAAAUCUCGGUGCUCAACAUCGAGACCGCAGCUGAAACUGCUAGACUAGAGGCCGGGAGAGGCAGAUGGAAUCGCCGGUGUAGGGGUAAAAUCCGUUAAUAUCGGCGAGAACACCAAAUGCGAAGGCGUUCUGCUAGAACGGACCUGACGCUGAGAGACGAAAGCGUGGGGAGCGAAUGGGAUUAGAUACCCCAGUAGUCCACGCUGUAAACGAUGGAUGCUUGGCAUUGGCAGUAUCGACCCUGUCAGUGCCGUUUAACCAAGCUAACGCAUUAAGCAUCCCGCCUGGGGAGUACGGCCGCAAGGCUAAAACUCAAAGGAAUUGACGGGGACCCGCACAAGCGGUGGAGCAUGUGGUUUAAUUCGAUGAUAAGCGAGGAACCUUACCAAGGCUUGACAUCUAGCUGCACAUCCGGUGAAAGCCGGAUUCCUUCGAGGGUGCUAGACAGGUGCUGCAUGGUUGUCGUCAGCUCGUGUCGUGAGAUGUACCGUUAAGUCGGAUAACGAGCGCAACCCCUAUUCUGUGUUACAUUGUUCACAGGAAACUGCCCUGGAUAACAGGGAGGAAGGCGGGGAUGACGUCAAAUCAGCAUGGCUCUUACGCCUUGGGCGACACACGUGCUACAAUGGCCGGUACAAAGGGUUGCUAAGCCGAAAGGUGGAGCCAAUCCCAUCAAAACCGGCCCCAGUUCGGAUUGAGGUCUGCAACUCGACCUCAUGAAGUCGGAAUCGCUAGUAACCGUAUAUCAGCCACGGUACGGUGAAUACGUUCUCGGGUCUUGUACACACCGCCCGUCACGUCAAGAGAGUCUGUAGUACCCAAAUGCUGCCGUAGGGUGGCAAAAGGUAAGACAGAUGAUAGGGACGAAGUCGUAACAAGGCAUCCGUAGCGGAAGCUGUGGAUGGAUCACCUCCUUUCUAGGGAG
rnacentral:rRNA from 2 species